rnacentral:rRNA from 1 species
GACGAACGCUGGCGGCGUGCCUAAUACAUGCCAGUAGAACGCUGAAGCGAGGAGCUUGCUCUUCUUGGAUGAGUUGCGAACGGGUGAGUAACGCGUAGGUAACCUGCCUUGUAGCGGGGGAUAACUAUUGGAAACGAUAGCUAAUACCGCAUAACAAUGGCUGACACAUGUCAUUUAUUUGAAAGGGGCAAUUGCUCCACUACAAGAUGGACCUGCGUUGUAUUAGCUAGUAGGUGAGGUGAUGGCUCACCUAGGCGACGAUACAUAGCCGACCUGAGAGGGUGGUCGGCCACACUGGGACUGGGACACGGCCCAGACUCCUACGGGAGGCGGCAGUAGGGAAUCUUCGGAAAUGGGGGCAACCCUGACCGAGCAACGCCGGGUGAGUGAAGAAGGUUUUCGGAUCGUAAAGCUCUGUUGUAAGUCAAGAACGGGUGUGAGAGUGGAAAGUUCACACUGUGACGGUAGCUUACCAGAAAGGGACGGCUAACUACGUG